UACGAAGGGGGCUAGCGUUGCUCGGAAUGACUGGGCGUAAAGGGCGCGUAGGCGGAUGGCACAGUCAGAUGUGAAAUUCCCGGGCUUAACCUGGGGGCUGCAUUUGAUACGUGUGAUCUAGAGUGAGGAAGAGGGUCGUGGAAUUCCCAGUGUAGAGGUGAAAUUCGUAGAUAUUGGGAAGAGCACCGGUGGCGAAGGCGGCGACCUGGUCCUUGACUGACGCUGAGGCGCGAAAGCGUGGGGAGCAAACAGG
rnacentral:rRNA from 1 species